GCAGUGGAGACACAGAGGAGAGGAGCUUGUGAGUCUUAAGUCUGGUUCACACGGCACGAUUUAAGGAUUGUCAGCCGAUUUUCCAAACCUCUGUGACCACAGAGCCGAUAAAAGUACAACAGGUUCAAUCGGUUCGUGUGUUCAGCCGCACGGCAGGAGCAACACACCACCGAUCCAGAACCGAUUCCACUCAUGAACAUCCUGAUUCCAGAAGA